CAAUUACCCGUUGCAACAUUGUUGCGAACGGGUAAAUGACAAGCUGUGUAGCAAUCCUUUGUUCCCAGGGGUGGCCGCCAUUCGAGAAACAAACACGUGGCGGCGGCCAUCUUAACCUCCCGAACAGCGGUGUUUUGCUGUCGAGUGUCUGGAACUAAAAACGGACACUCGAUUAGGCGAACACCGCUGAGACCUCCAUCAGCCCGGUCCGUUCGGUUCCAAACUACCGAACGGCCCCUUGUUCGGUAGGCAUAAUCAACCGAACGAGGGGAUUC